UACGUAGGGUGCGAGCGUUAAUCGGAAUUACUGGGCGUAAAGCGUGCGCAGGCGGUUGUGUAAGUCAGAUGUGAAAUCCCCGGGCUCAACCUGGGAACUGCAUUUGAGACUGCACGGCUAGAGUGUGACAGAGGGGGGUAGAAUUCCACGUGUAGCAGUGAAAUGCGUAGAGAUGUGGAGGAAUACCGAUGGCGAAGGCAGCCCCCUGGGUUACUACUGACGCUCAUGCACGAAAGCGUGGGGAGCAAACAGGAUUAGAUACCCUGGUAGUCCACGCCCUAAACGAUGUCAACUGGAUGUUGGGAGGGUUAAACCUCUUAGUGUCGUAGCUAACGCGUGAAGUUGACCGCCUGGGGAGUACGGCCGCAAGGCUAAA
rnacentral:rRNA from 1 species